UGUAAUUAUUAUAUUUGAAAAAUUCUUCGUCAACUCCAAAAGGCGCGUUGUUAUCAAUGAAAGCAUUCUAUUCGAGGCUAUUACGGGCGCGUCACAUUUAGGACGCUUUUUCUACGUGAGUCGUUCGUAUCGCUCCAACAUUUAUUUACUUUCUCACUCGCUCGGUUCGUUUCGAUUAUAUGAAUUGGCAGCCGACAAAAUAUAACAACGAAAUCUGACCGCGAGUAAUUUUCCAGACGGAGGAGCCCUUUCAGUUGCCCGCUAACGGUUGUGAAGAAGCAUCGUGUCACGAUCUCCUGCUACGAACCAAGAUAUUCCAGUAUUAUCUAUAACGUAAGCUCGUCGUGUUUAAUAAACGUCGAAAGCCAUUGGUAACUGGACAACCGAAUAGAGGCGAAGACAUGCGGUAAGAAAUCUUAUGUUGUACAUAGCAGUUCCAACGAAAACAACAUCGAACUUUACGACAUUUCCACACCAAAAUUACAAAAAUAUUACAAUUAAACAAAAUUUCAGUGAAUUACUUAAUAUUACAUUGAUUGUUAAUUCAUUUGCCAUUUAAGGAUACUUUGUGUACUACGCUAGAAUUUAGUAUAUUGUACGUUACAAAAGGUUAAGAUUUAGAAGCAUGUACAUUUAUUGUAUGAAUUGUAUGUAUUACAAAAUGAUUUCAAUAAAUCGACAAUAAAUUGAAAA